UACGUAGGGGGCAAGCGUUGUCCGGAAUCAUUGGGCGUAAAGAGCGUGUAGGCGGUUCGGUAAGUCUGCUGUGAAAGUCCAGGGCUCAACCCUGGAAAGCCGGUGGAUACUGUCGGACUAGAGUGCGGAAGAGGAGAGUGGAAUUCCUGGUGUAGCGGUGAAAUGCGCAGAUAUCAGGAAGAACACCGAUGGCGAAAGCGCUCUCUGGGACGGUACUGACGCUGAGGCGCGAAAGCGUGGGGAGCGAACAGG
rnacentral:rRNA from 1 species